rnacentral:misc_RNA from 1 species
UCUCCGUAGGUGAACCUGCGGAGGGAUCAUUACUGAGUGAGGGCCUUCGGGCUCGACCUCCAACCCUUUGUGAACACAACUUGUUGCUUCGGGGGCGACCCUGCCGUUUCGGCGGUGGCGCUCCCGGUAGCCAAUCAUUAAACUCUGCAUCUCUUGCGUCGGAGUCUUAAAGAUAUUUAAACAAAACUUUCAACAACGGAUCUCUUGGUUCUGGCAUCGAUGAAGACCGCAGC